rnacentral:rRNA from 1 species
AUACGUAGGGGGCAAGCGUUAUCCGGAUUUACUGGGUGUAAAGGGAGCGUAGACGGCGAUGCAAGUCUGAAGUGAAAACCCGGGGCUCAACCCCGCGGACUGCUUUGGAAACUGUGUUGCUGGAGUGCAGGAGAGGUGAGUGGAAUUCCUAGUGUAGCGGUGAAAUGCGUAGAUAUUAGGAGGAACACCAGUGGUGAAGGCGGCUCACUGUACUGUAACUGACGUUGAGGCUCGAAAGCGUGGGGAGCAAACAGGAUUAGAGCCCCUGGUAGUCCACGCCGUAAACGAUGAAUGCUAGGUGACGGGGGGCAAAGCCCUUCGGUGCCGCCGCUAACGCAUUAAGCAUUCCACCUGGGGAGUACGUUCGCAAGAAUGAAACUCAAAGGAAUUGACGGGG